GAUGAAGACGUAGCGAAAUGCGAUAAGUAAUGUGAAUUGCAGAAUUCAGUGAAUCAUCGAAUCUUUGAACGCACAUUGCGCCCGCCAGUAUUCUGGCGGGCAUGCCUGUUCGAGCGUCAUUUCAACCAUCAAGCCCCCGGCUUGUGUUGGGGACCUGCGGCUGCCGCAGGCCCUGAAAACCAGUGGCGGGCUCGCUAGUCACUCCGAGCGUAGUAAUACAUCUCGCUCAGGGCGUGCUGCGGGUUCCGGCCGUUAAAAAGCCUUUUUUACCCAAGGUUGACCUCGGAUCAGGUAGGAAGACCCGCUGAACUUAAGCAUAUCAAUAAGCGGAGGA
rnacentral:misc_RNA from 1 species